UGCCGUUGGCACACCGGGACGCUCACACUCGCCGCGCUCACACUCGAGGCGGGGUGGGGGGACGUGGGGGUCCCGGGGCGACCGGGAGCCCGCUUCGUUUCAGGGCCGAAGCUCGCGGCUGUAGGAGAGGAAAGCAGGUGCAGUUUAAUCAGCUUCUCCCAAACUGAUCUAACAAAGAAAGACCCUUCCUGGGAGGCCAUAGUUAUGUACAGGCAAACACUUUUCUAAAAACAUAACUCCAACAUCCCUCCUUGCCACAGAAGUAUUGAGUUCUAGGGACUGGAAAAAGAAAGCAUCUGAAGACGCCUGUGUGGUUAGGAGACAGCCAGCCGAGUGUUUAGGAUUCUGUCUUCUACGUGAUCUCAGCCAUAGACACACACAUUCCUUCUCAUCCUCUCGCCUCUAAUACCAUCUGCCAUAGCUACUCGCUUUCCUAUUUCACAUAACAGUGACCACGACAGGCAGUUGGAGUCGUCCUAUACAAAGUCUGUAGGGCGGUUGUCACUCUUUGCCCACCUGCAGACCCAAGUUAAAAACCCCAGCAUCCAUUCAAUCGGUAGCAUCCUGCUGGCUUGUUACUACUCCCAAAUCCGGACCCGGCCCUCCCCAUCUGCCCUGUAUUGCCUUCAUUCAGUGAUGAACCCGCCUCCAGCUGUGCUCCCAGGUUGUGCUCCCCCGGGCUAGCAGCCACACUACUGUCCAAUUAAGUAGAAAAUCAACUCCAAAUAAAGCGCGUUCCAACCCUAACUCCACCCCUCAAAAACCUCUCCCAGCCUUCAGAAUAAAAUCCGUAUUAUUUAACAAAACAUAUAAAAUCAGUAUAAUCUGGCACCAAAGUCCUUUCCCAGCCUCAUCUCCUGCUCCAGGGCCCCACAAGCCCUCGGCAAACCAGCUGCCACUCCUGGUUGUGAAACAACAGAGCCAUCCUCUUGUUUGUUGUUUUAUGCUGAGCAUGGUGCCCUGCACGCAGGCGCUCAAAUAAAUGCUUGUGAGUGAAUAAUUCCUUGCCCUUUUGUUUCUCAUGAAAUAUUUUAGACUCCAUCAGAGUCUUUUAUUAACACGUGGUGACCGAUACUCGUACAGAAUGCCGAAGAGUUGAAAGAAAAACAUAAGCCACCUGGAAUCUCAGCGGUCGGGAACUGAGGUGCUGAUGUUUUUAUGUAUUUCCUUCUCGUAAUUUUUCUAAAGGGCUGUUUCCAGCCUUCACCGACUCCGUCUCUCUGUGCCUUGUAGCAGUGCCCAUCCGGGUGCCUGGGUGACUUUCCUCUGUCCUGUUCUAUUUCCUGGCUGGCUCCUCUUCUGCGGCCAGCCCCCUAAAGUACGGUGUUUCCAGACAUUCCAUCCUAAACCCUUCUAUUUUCUCAUUCCGCGUGCUUUCUCUUUGAGUGCUCUCACUCAUGCCCACAGCUUCAGAUAUCUCUAUUUGGUAAUAGCUCCAAAGUGGAUAGCUUCUGACGUCUGGGUGAUUUACCUCCUAGAUGUUCCUCGGGUUCAACAAAUCAUGCAUGUCUAAAACUAAACUCAUCACAUCUUUCCCGACAACCUUGUAUAUGUGUCACCUCACUGACCCUCCAGGAAACUGGCAGAGAUCGCUGACUCCUGCCUUUCCUGAGCCCCCCCUGGAGCUCCCUGAGGCAUGGGUACUGUUUCCAAUUUUUCAGGCCCUUAGACACAUAAAGCAUAGAAUGAAUUUCACUCAGUUCUUAUGACCUUGAUGACGUAUCACUGCAGACAAAAGUUUAAAUACGCCCCCAAAGUCCACAUGGUAUUGAUAUACACAGUCAGGAAAUAUUUCUCAGCUCUUUGAUGAGAUACAUACAGUCACAAACCUCUGUGGAAAAGGGAUCGAUAUAGCGAAAUGCAACCUUUCUGAAAGUCUCUGAAAAAAGUAACCUUUGCCAUACUGAAGAACUCUGACCAAACACCUAGGUCUAAUGCAAAAACCACCGUUCAAGCAAUCUUCUAUAAUGAAACCAGAGUGAUCUCCUGAGUGAGGCAUGUUAAUAUUUCACCGGUGGAAUAGAACCUCCUAAAAGAAGAUCCACCUGCACGCAUUAGGAGUAAUUUCUCUUCAAGGAAGUUAAGUAAGAGCAGUGAUCAGCUGGACACAUAGUGAUUGAUCUCUCCUUUCAAAUGGGUUUUUAAUUUAUUUUUCUACCAAGAACAGUUUCAUAAAAUAAUCAUUCAAGUAACAGACUUUAUUAAGUGCCCACAAACUUUUCACAGCACUGGGACUACAGCACUGAACCCAAACCAUUGGAAACCUCUGCCUCCCAGGAAGGUCUCUUAGAGUCUAGUAAAUUGGCAUGUUAGUUUCCACUAUAUCAUCCCAGUAUCCCAGCAUCACCUCCACCUAUCAUCACAGCUUUUAGAACUGUAUAUUAGAGUUAAGAACAUGGAAUAUGAUGGCUUACUCACUAAAGUGUUGAGUAUAGUUAGGAUUAAAUCAGUAGCCCAUAAUCCAUCGGUCAAUUGAUGUCCCAAUUUUCUCCACCAUAUCACUGAUCCCACUCUGUCCUGGCCACAGAGGCUCUCCUCCAUGGUGUUAUUCAGGGGAUUAUAAAAUCAUAGGAAAUGAGUGUUCCACACUUGCAAGAGCAGUUGGCUCAUACAGACCCAUAGACUGCAGCUCUGCCCUCCAAAAAGUAUUAUUGUGAAGUCUACACUGAAUAAAUAUACAGUCAAGUUAGAUUUUAGUUGAGACAGAACGGUAAGGACAUUGAAAAAGCCUUCUAUCAAAGUUCAAAGAUCAGAGCAUCAAAUCGGAGAAAUUCUUGACUAUUACCUCACGUAAUUGUUCCUCCCAUGUUACUGGAAACUCCGAAAUGAGGUUCAUUUUAUUGCAAUUAUUCUCUGAAAAUCAUGAAUUUAAAUUGAGCCAUAUAUUGCCCAUUCCUUCGUAAUAAAUAUUAAUUUUGUCCUACUCUGAUGAAGUCAGGGAAAAAUAUUCCUUAAAAUUGCCAGGGUGUGUGUGUGUGUGUGUGUGUGUUGUAUGUGUGUGUGUUUUGGGGGGGGGUGGGUGGAGAGAGAGAUUUUCUUGUCUACAAGGAAAGCUUACAAUUUUGAAAACUUCAUAAAUUGUUUUUUGCUAAAACGUCUCUGUUCCAUCCCAAAUAGCUUUGAAAUAUCCAUUACUAUAUCCAAAUGAUAAAGUAGUACUUUCCUUUUUUAAACUCGGAAGGAAAAGAAAGGUGUCCAUAGCUCUGCCUUGAAGUUCUUUAGAAAGAACUACUAUAAUAGUUUCAACUAUUAAAAAUAUUUUGAACAAAUACAUUUCAAGUUUUUAACAUAAAUUCAGCAAACCACAAGAUUCACUGGGUCCAGAUCAUUUGGUGAAUUUUCUGUUACAGUUUCCUCUCUUUCUCUGCAAGUUCCUCACAGCCUGUGAAGCUCGAUGCCAGUGUGUUCUCUUUCUCCCCAAACUUCCUAGCGUUGCGAAUGACGCACUUUCACUGUUUGAAAAUGUUUGGAAGUUUGCCAGUCAGAAAGACAGAAGAGUGUCAUAAAACAAAGGAUUGAGAGUAUUUUUAAGUCUCUGACUUCCUUGGGGAAAACAAAAAAAAAAAGUCAUCUCCACUAAAUCCAAAAGUACAUGACAAUUCACACCGGCUCCUGGUGCUGCCUCCUUAGCCUCUGAUGUGAGUCGGUGACAUUUCCCGCCCAUGUGUGCCCAGCCCUGCCAUGCCCCCGGUACUGAGAGCUGCCAUGAAGGAAGUAGGAACAAGACAAGCCCUGGCUCUCCGGGACCUUACAUUCCAGUGGGGGUGAUGUCAACAGACAAACCAACCAAUAACAUAGUUACAGAUUUGUAUUGGUGUUCUGAAGGAAAUAAGCAAGAGCUCCCCCUGAAAACACUGGCAGAAUCUAGGUGGUCAGGGAAGGUUCCCCUGAGAAAAUGGCUUGAAGGUAUUCGUUUCCUGGGGUUGCCAUUACAAAGGACCAUACACUGGGCAACUUAAACAACAGCACUGUAUUGUCUCACAGUUAGGAAGCUGGUAGUUCGAGAUCCAGGUGUCACAGGGUCGGUUCCUUGUGAGGCCGACGGAGGGAUUUGCUCCAUGCCUCCUGCCUUCCGGUGCUUUGCCAGGACUCUUGGGCCUUCUUUGGCUUGCAAAUGAUCUCUGAUCUCUGCUUCAUCUUCGCCAGGUGUUCUCUGGGGAAUGCACCUGAGUCCAAACUUCUUUUAUGAGGACACCAGUCAUUGGAUUCCUGGCCCACCCUACUCCAGGAUGAUCUCAUCUUCAAUUACAUCGGCAAGGACCUGUUUCCACAUAAGGUCACAUUUUGAGUACUGAAGGUUAUGACUUCCACAAAUGAAUGGAGUGGCGGACACAAUUCAACACGUAACAGACAACUGGAGAUAAGAGAGAAAACACAACCAACCAUGAGUGGAAAGGCGUUCAGACUGAAGGAGAGAAAGAAAUACGGAUACCAAGCGACAGUGGUGGUUGUACACAUUGAUAGAGUGGAACCAGCCACAUGAGAGGUACCCACAUAUAAGGUCAUCAUCAACGUGCUCAAUUGUCUCCCGUUUUUCUUUGUUUCUCUUUCCCAUCUUUGAUAAGAACUUCUCAUCUUUGCAGUGAUGCAGAACCAACAGAAUCAUGACCUCUUGUUUCCAUGUAUGCAGUUGAGGUCAUGCGUUUAUGACACCUUUGGGCAAAACUUUUUCCCUCAUUGAGAAACUGGCGAAACAUUACCGCAAUCCCGUCAUCUUUCACAAGACUUAUCCGUGUGUUCCCACAUACAAACUGUUCCUUUUGUUGGUAUUUUUGCUUAUGAUGAACUUAAGAUAAAUAGGAUAGUAGGAAAUAUUUGUGCCGCAUUGAGGGUAAAAAGAAAAUGGUUUUUUUUAAUGUUUAUUUUUGCGAGAGAGAGAGAGAGAGAGAGAGAGAGACAGAGUGUGAGCAGGGGAAGGGCAGAGUGAGAGGGAGACACAGAAUGCGCAGCAGGCUCCCGGCUCUGAGCUGUCAGCACAGAGCCCGAUGGCGAGAUCGUGACCUGAGCCGGAGUCAGAAGCUUACCCGACUGAGCCACCCAGCUCCCUAAUGUUUUAUAUGCACAGUAUAACCACCCCAAAGAUAUCUUUAUUAAAUAAGACCAAACAGGGGCGCCUGGGUGGCGCAGUGGGUUAAGCGUCCGACUUCAGCCAGGUCACGAUCUCACAGUGCGUGAGUUCGAGCCCCGUGUCAGGCUCUGGGCUAAUGGCUCGGAGCCUAG